rnacentral:rRNA from 1 species
AUGGGAGAGAAAAGCUUAGUAAAAGGUGGUGAGAGGCGUCUGCCACGAUCGCCGAGUGGCAUCAUUGGGGGUCUUUGUAGGUUAAAUUAUCCUGGACUGGUCACUUUGUCGAACGGUAUCAUUGAGCCAGCUUGGUCAUGGGAUCACUACAAACUAGCACCGGAUUUCCUGGAUAUGCAUCAGAGGGUUUGUGAUAACAGAGCCAUGCGAGUGGUCAACGAUUUCUGGGAUUUCUAUACAUGCGUUGAGGGUCAGAAGGAUCGUGAAAAUGUGGUGGUUGAGAAUAUUGCCAAGAAACUAGUCCACGACAUGCACUAUGAGGAGCGUGUCCGGUUAGUGGUCAAGUAUCACGCGGACUAUCUCAACCAUAGGAUUUCCAAACAGGAGGCUCGAGGGACCCAUCUUUCACGGGACAAUUACUUCAAGGUUCGUGCUAGGAGAAGAUCGUCGAACGGUGGACAGAUCCAGGGUGGCAGGAUGAACACAAAGCAAUAUCUGAACGACAUAAGUUGA